rnacentral:rRNA from 1 species
GACGAACGCUGGCGGCGUGCUUAACACAUGCAAGUCGAACGAUGAAGCCGGAGCUUGCUCUGGUGAAUUAGUGGCGAACGGGUGAGUAACACGUGAGUAACCUGCCCUUGACUCUGGGAUAACUGCGGGAAACUGUAGCUAAUACCGGAUACGACCCUCGGAGGCAUCUCCUGGGGGUGGAAAGAAUUUCGGUCAAGGAUGGACUCGCGGCCUAUCAGCUAGUUGGUGAGGUAAAGGAUCACCAAGGCGACGACGGGUAGCCGGCCUGAGAGGGUGACCGGCCACACUGGGACUGAGACACGGCCCAGACUCCUACGGGAGGCAGCAGUGGGGAAUAUUGCACAAGGGGCGCAAGCCUGAUGCAGCAACGCCGCGUGAGGGAUGAUGGCCUUCGGGUUGUAAACCUCUUUUAGCAGGGAAGAAGCGAAAGUGACGGUACCUGCAGAAAAAGCACCGGCUAACUACGUGCCAGCAGCCGCGGUAA